rnacentral:rRNA from 1 species
GAUGAACGCUGGCGGCAUGCCUAAUACAUGCAAGUCGAACGAGAGGAAGGAAAGCUUGCUUUUCUGAAUCUAGUGGCGAACGGGUGAGUAACACGUAGGUAACCUGCCCAUGUGCCCGGGAUAACUUCUGGAAACGGAUGCUAAAACCGGAUAGGUAGCAGACAAGCAUUUGACUGCUAUUAAAGUGGCUAAGGCCAUGAACAUGGAUGGACCUGCGGUGCAUUAGCUAGUUGGUGAGGUAACGGCCCACCAAGGCGACGAUGCAUAGCCGGCCUGAGAGGGCGGAGGGCAACAUUGGGACUGAGCCACGGCCCAAACUCCUACGGGAGGCAGCAGUAGGGAAUUUUCGUCAAUGGGGGGAACCCUGAACGAGCAAUGCCGCGUGAGUGAGGAAGGUCUUCGGAUCGUAAAGCUCUGUUGUAAGAGAAAAACGACAUUCAUAGGGAAUGAUGAGUGAGUGAUGGUAUCUUACCAGAAAGUCACGGCUAACUACGUGCCAGCAGCCGCCGUAA